rnacentral:rRNA from 1 species
CUGGAGCUUGCUCCGGCCGAUUUAGUGGCGGACGGGUGAGUAACGCGUGGGUAACCUGCCUCAUACAGGGGGAUAACGAUUGGAAACGAUUGCUAAUACCGCAUAAGCGCACAGUACCACAUGGUGCAGUGUGAAAAACUCCGGUGGUAUGAGAUGGACCCGCGUCUGAUUAGCUAGUUGGUGAGGUAACGGCCCACCAAGGCAACGAUCAGUAGCCGACCUGAGAGGGUGACCGGCCACAUUGGGACUGAGACACGGCCCAGACUCC